UCCUUCUCAGGGUCGUACCUUGAGAGUUUCUAGUCCUCUACCAGUCUCGGCUACAGGAGGGAGAAUCAAGCAGAGGUCUACCCAUUCCAUUCCUAUCUUGGGCAGUAGCUAGAGAGUGGAAGACAAUCUGCUAGAAGU